GGAAAAAAGUCGUAACAAGGUCUCCGUAGGUGAACCUGCGGAGGGAUCAUUACAGAGUUCAUGCCCUACCGGGUAGAUCUCCCACCCUAUGUUAUUAUUACUUUGUUGCUUUGGCGGGCCGUUAGGCUCCGGCCCGACUACCGGCCCCGGCUGGUAAGCGCCCGCCAGAGGACCCAAAACCCUGAAUAUUAGUGUCGUCUGAGUACUAUAUAAUAGUUAAAACUUUCAACAACGGAUCUCUUGGUUCUG
rnacentral:misc_RNA from 1 species